rnacentral:rRNA from 1 species
AGUGAACGCUGGCGGCGUGCCUAAUACAUGCAAGUCGAACGGAGAUUCAGUAGCUUGCUAUUUACUCUUAGUGGCGCACGGGUGAGUAAUAUAUAGCUAACUUGCCCAUUACUAAGGGACAACAGUUGGAAACGACUGCUAAUACCUUAUACUCCGUAUCUAUAUAAGUAGAUACGGGAAAGUUUUUCGGUAAUGGAUAGGGCUAUAUCGUAUCAGCUAGUUGGUAAGGUAAUGGCUUACCAAGGCUAUGACGCGUAACUGGUCUGAGAGGAUGAUCAGUCACACUGGAACCGAGACCCGGUCCAGACUCCUACGGGAGGCAGCAGUAGGGAAUAUUGCUCAAUGGGGGAAACCCUGAAGCAGCAACGCCGCGUGGAGGAUGACACUUUUCGGAGCGUAAACUCCUUUUCUUGGGAAAGAAUUAUGACGGUACCCAAGGAAUAAGCACCGGCUAACUCCGUG